AUUCAAAAGGGUCUAUCCUUCCACAUUAUUUGGUUCAGUUUUUAAUCUUUAUUUAAAUUCCUUUUUGCCUUUGUUUAAUCAUAAUUUGGUUCACCUUCUAUAUAUUUUUAAGCUAUCCCAAUAAAAGCUAUAUUUUAAUCCACACCAGAUGCUAUAGGGACCUCCUCUUUGUCCUAUGGGUUUUUCCCUGGAGGAUAUUAGUUUUUUGUUUCCAUACUAUUCAAGGGUUAUCCCCUUGGUGGUCCCUUUACACACAUUACUAGUUCCCAAGUGGAAACUAGUGUUCUGUUUUUUUCAACAAUACCAUAAGGCUGACAUCAGAAAGGUUUCAACAGCUACACCAUGACAUGGGAACAAAUCAGCAUUAAUGGGUCUCUACCACCGACCUGUAAACCGAUCUCCACGUGCUAUAAAAUGCUCUCACCACAUAUCCCUUUUGCUAAUAUUACAAUGGCACAACAUUGGGAAUCUGAUUAACAGUGCACAAUUUUCCCUAAGCAAUGGGACUAUAUUCUCACUUUACCAAUAAAAAUGAUUAAGUCGUCCGCCUACAUUGAGCAGCACUAUAAGAGAGUGUAUAGAUGGUACAUGGUACCUAGCAGACUACACAAGUUGUAUAUAUCUACCUCUGCAGGAUGCUGUUGAUUUGACAGGGAGAAGGGCAUCACCUUACAUGUGUGGUGGUCCUGCCAGUAUAUUCAACUCUUCUGGAGGAGCAUGCAUAACACAGUGAAGGAGUUUACUGGCUGCGAGAUCCCUCUCUUGCCUGAAACGUAUCUUCUGCUGAAUCUAUCUGCAAGUGUACCUAAUUUCAAAUUGAAAUUGAUAAUAGAUCUAGUCUUAAUGGCACAAAGACUAAUUGCAUUUGCCUGGAAAUCAAUCACGCCACCGACCCUAAGGAAUUGCUCUCAGAAUUAGAUACAAAAAGAUCCUAUGAACAAGGUCUCAAAACACUAUUCCCUCAUUCACUAGUAGCUUUAAAAGUGGGACUAUGUGGGACUCGUGGAGAUCGGUCGACAGAUGAGUUCUGUAUUAAAUUUAUAUUGUAAGAAUGUUGCUAUACUGUAUUUAAAAAAACAAAAGUCUAUUGCCAUCCCUGCUACAAUUUUAUUUGAAAUUAUGUUAGUGUUAAACUUGACCUACAGCCGUAACAUGCAAGCAUGUAUACCCAAUGGACUAUUUCUUAAUAUCACAUUUGUACGCUGCAUACUUUGUUUAUGUGCUGAGAAAGUCCCCCCUCCUUUAUUUUCUGUAUCCCUCGAUUAUUUUACAAAACCAAUAAUAGGGAAGUAUUACUUUACUGAGAGGGUAGUGGAUGCAUGGAAUAGCCUCCCAGCUGAAGUGGUAGAGGUUAACACAGUGAAGGAGUUUAAGUAUGCAUGGGAUAGGAAUAAGGCUAUCAUUGACUUAAGAUAAGGCCUGGGAUUAAUGAGAAUAUUAAGAAAAUUGGGCAGACUAGAUGGGAUGAAUGUUUUUUAUCUGCUGUCACAUUCUAUGCUUCUAUGUCUAUGUUUCUAAACACACUAAUGAUAAAAAUAUCAGAGCUGUGGACAAAAACCCCCAAAAAACGACCAAUGCGCUAAAGCAUGCAAAACGUGAAGUUAAAUUCUACACUGCCUGUUGAACUAAAAAGCACUUACAAGUAAUAUUCAGACUUCAGCUGAGGCCACAAGUUUUCUAGUCUGUCCCCUUUACAAAGAAAUCUAAAUGAAAAAUCAGAUCUGAUAAAUUUAGGUAAAUUCUGGUAAAAGAUUAUCUUCAUAUCUG
rnacentral:lncRNA from 1 species